GCCCACAUAGAUCAGUUGGUAGAUCGCCUUUCAUUACUCGGUGUUAGCAAAGUCUAUUUGAAGGAGACGGAGGUUCGAACCCUCCUGUGGGCA